GUAGACGCGCCCCGUUUAAGCAAGCCCUAGACUGCUGCUGCUGUGUGUCUUCCUCUGCUCCGCACCGCCGCCUCUGCAUCCUCCCCGACGACGAGAUCCACCCGCCCCCUACCUCCCCCCCGCCUCCGCCCCGUCGCCAGCCCCCGAGAUGGAGAGGGUGCUCAAGGAUGACGCCAUCCAGGAGAAGGGCGAGCGCGCCAGGAUGGCAUCUUUUGUAGGUGCCAUGGCGAUCGCAGACUUAGUCAAGACCACAUUGGGACCAAAAGGAAUGGACAAGAUCCUUCAGUCGACUGGCCGAGGGCGGAGUGUCACCGUUACAAAUGAUGGUGCUACCAUUUUGAAGUCGCUUCAUAUCGACAACCCUGCUGCCAAGGUCCUUGUUGACAUCUCAAAAGUCCAAGAUGAUGAAGUUGGUGAUGGAACAACUUCUGUUGUUGUUUUGGCUGGAGAACUGUUGAGGGAGGCAGAAAAGUUGGUUAACAUGAAGAUUCAUCCGAUGACUAUUAUUGCAGGUUACAGAAUGGCUGCUGAGUGUGCCAGAAAUGCGUUGCUGAAAAGGACCAUGGACAACAAAGACAAUACAGACAAGUUCAGAUCAGAUCUCAUGAACAUUGCCAUGACUACGCUUAGUUCAAAAAUUCUCUCCCAGGACAAGGAAUAUUUUGCUGAACUUGCAGUUGAUGCUGUCCUCAGGCUUAAGGGUAGCACCAACUUGGAAUCAAUCCAAAUUCUGAAGAAACCGGGAGGUUCUCUCAAGGAUUCCUUUUUGGAUGAAGGGUUCAUUCUUGAUAAGAAGAUUGGCCUUGGUCAACCAAAGCGUAUUGAAAACGCUAAUAUUCUGGUUGCAAACACUGCUAUGGACACAGAUAAAGUUAAGAUUUAUGGGGCACGUGUCCGGGUGGAUUCGAUGGCUAAGGUUGCAGAUAUUGAAGCUGCUGAGAAACAGAAAAUGAGAGAGAAAGUUGAGAAAAUCAUUGGCCACGGGAUAAACUGCUUUGUCAACAGGCAGCUAAUCUACAACUUCCCUGAAGAACUUUUUGCUGAUGCUGGCAUACUCGCAGUUGAGCAUGCUGACUUUGAGGGCAUCGAGCGGCUAGCUCUUGUCACUGGAGGUGAUAUUGCAUCAACUUUUGACAACCCAGAGUCUGUUAAGCUUGGGCACUGCAAGCUCAUCGAAGAGAUUAUGAUUGGGGAGGACAGGCUGAUUCAUUUCUCCGGGGUUGCGAUGGGGCAAGCAUGCACCAUUGUCCUGAGAGGAGCAAGUGAGCAUGUACUUGAUGAGGCGGAGAGGUCCUUGCAUGAUGCCCUAUGUGUGCUUUCUCAGACGGUAACUGACACGCGUGUCAUAUAUGGUGGUGGAUGGCCUGAGAUGGUGAUGUCCAAGGAGGUGGACGAACUUGCAAGGAAGACCCCUGGGAAGAAAUCUCAUGCGAUUGACGCCUUUUCGCGCGCCCUGCAAGCCAUCCCAACAAUCAUUGCUGACAAUGCUGGUCUGGAUAGUGCUGAGCUGAUCUCCCAGCUCCGAGCCGAGCACCACAAAGAGAACAGCACUGCUGGAAUUGAUGUCAUCAGCGGCGGGCUGGGAGACAUGCAGAAGCGCGGGAUAUGCGAGGCGUUCAAGGUGAAGCAGGCCAUCGUCCUGUCGGCGACCGAGGCCGCGGAGAUGAUCCUGAGGGUCGACGAGAUCAUAACCUGCGCCCCGCGCAGGAGGGAGGACAGGAUGUGAGCGCUGUCUCGAUGCAGCGCUCUCUUAUGUAUGAUGGUUUGCCGAGUUUUGGCUGGGUUGCUGUGGUCCACGACUGCUUUAAAGUUUGAUCGACCCCAUUUCGAUUGUCGUUGAACCCUGACCCCUAAGCGACUGGAACUUGUAGCUGCUAGCGUUGUUCUGUAGGGAGUGGCUUGGUUUUCUUUCGGUUGAUUUUCCACUAAGAGGAUAUAGUGAUGUGUAAGUGUAACCUUGUUUUAUGUGCAUCUUUUGCAUGCGGAGGACUUAGUUAAGAAGAUGCAUGCAAUGCUACGAGUUUUCAGUUUUCCAUGUGUUUGCUGUACUUGCUGGAUAUCUAUCAGCCGUUGCUAGCAGUGUGUUGGACAUGGCACAUGUAUGGCUGGAAUCGGGCCCAGUUUUGAUUGUGAUUGUGCCGAAACAAGAUAGGACAAUCUGUGCGCAAUCUGUGCGCUUGGAGUGUUUGAUUAUCUGUUUGACAAGUGUUUUCUUAUUGUCGACUGAUUAAUAUCGGUUCUU
rnacentral:rRNA from 1 species